rnacentral:rRNA from 1 species
AUACGGAGGGUGCAAGCGUUAAUCGGAAUUACUGGGCGUAAAGCGCGCGUAGGCGGUUUGAUAAGUCGGAUGUGAAAUCCCCGGGCUCAACCUGGGAAUUGCAUUCGAUACUGUCAGGCUAGAGUGUGGUAGAGGGAAGUGGAAUUUCCGGUGUAGCGGUGAAAUGCGUAGAUAUCGGAAGGAACACCAGUGGCGAAGGCGGCUUCCUGGACCAACACUGACGCUGAGGUGCGAAAGCGUGGGGAGCAAACAGGAUUAGAAACCCCAGUAGUCC